rnacentral:rRNA from 1 species
CCCUUAGAUGUUCUGGGCUGCACGCGCGCUACACUGAUGCGCUCAACGAGUUUAUGACCUUGCCCGGAAGGGUUGGGUAAUCUUUUCAAAACGCAUCGUGAUGGGGAUAGAUUAUUGCAAUUAUUAAUCUUCAACGAGGAAUUCCUAGUAAGCACAAGUCAUCAGCUUGUGUUGAUUACGUCCCUGCCCUUUGUACACACCGCCCGUCGCUCCUACCGAUUGAAUGUUCCGGUGAGCUCUUCGGACUGCGCGGUCUGCAGUUUCUGCGUUCCGUGCGGAAAGUUGCGCAAACCUUAACAUUUAGAGGAAGGAGAAGUCGUAACA